rnacentral:rRNA from 1 species
UACGUAGGGUGCAAGCGUUGUCCGGAAUUAUUGGGCGUAAAGAGCUCGUAGGCGGUCUGUCGCGUCUGCUGUGAAAACUCGGGGCUUAACCCCGGGCCUGCAGUGGGUACGGGCAGACUAGAGUGCGGUAGGGGAGACUGGAAUUCCUGGUGUAGCGGUGAAAUGCGUAGAUAUCAAGAGGAACACCUGCGGCGAAGGCGGGUUGCUGGGCCGACACUGACGCUGAGGCGCGAAAGCCAGGGGAGCGAACGGG